rnacentral:tRNA from 1 species
GCAGUCAAGGCCCAGUGGUUAAGGCAAUGGACUAGAAAUCCAUUGGGGUCUCCCCGCACAGGUUCGAAUCCUGUCGACUGCG